rnacentral:piRNA from 1 species
UGGAAAACAUUUGCUGUGUCUCUCCUAGC